rnacentral:tRNA from 1 species
GCAGAUAUGGCGGAAUUUGGUAGACGCGCAGGAUUUAGGUCCCUGUAUUCUUUGUAGUGUGAGAGUUCAAAUCUCUCUAUCUGUA